CCCGCCGUAGCUCAGCGGCAGAGCGCCCGGCUGUAGUGGACGGGGCGGCUGGAGGCCCAGCCCCUCCGGCCGAUACCGGGUGGUCCGGGGUUCGAUUCCCGCGCGGGACCA
rnacentral:tRNA from 1 species